rnacentral:rRNA from 1 species
UACGGAGGGUGCAAGCGUUAAUCGGAAUUACUGGGCGUAAAGCGUACGUAGGCGGCUUGUUAAGCAAGAUGUGAAAUCCCCGGGCUCAACCUGGGAAUGGCAUUUUGAACUGGCAGGCUCGAGUUCUGAAGAGGGUGGUAGAAUUUCCAGUGUAGCGGUGAAAUGCGUAGAUAUUGGAAGGAAUACCGGUGGCGAAGGCGGCCACCUGGGCCAAGACUGACGCUGAGGUGCGAAAGCGUGGGGAGCAAACAGG